rnacentral:rRNA from 1 species
AAGGAUCAUAGUAAUCGUCUUUGACGUUACGUUUCCGUUCGUCCUCGGGACGUUAAGGCGCUCUGGUCGAGGAUAAACGACCCCUCUGACCGAGGUAAAGCCGUCUCCCUGUGUUACCUCUUCGCCGAGGCACACGUUAAAGAUCGUUCCGCGUUGUGAGUCUACACCAGUUGUAACACUUUUACAACCGGUAGCGCUGGAUCCCUUGGCACGUCAUUCGAUGAAGACCGUUGCAAAUUGCGAUAAAGUGAUGUGAUGCGCAAGUCCACCACUUAUACGUGAAUCAUCGAGUUGUUGAACGCACCGCACCGCGCCCUAACCCGGCUGCGGUAUGCCCCUUUGAGCGUCAUUGUAUCCCUUCGGGAGUCUUUUCGUUAAGACCCGAGUUCGGAGUCCUCGGUCUUCGGAUCGUGUUCUCUCAGAUGCGUCGCGCCGAUCGCCUGAUGGGUCACUCUAAUGCCUAAGCGUGGAGUCCCUCGGAGUCCGAGACGCGCUUGACCGGGUGUUGAGCCCGCGUCACCAAGUCCGCACGUCCAACGUGGCGGUACUACAACACAUGACCUCAUUGGGGUAGGACAACCCGCUAGACUUAAGCAUAUUAAUCAGCGGAGGAAAAGAAACUAACCAGGAUUCCCUCAGUAACUGCGAGUGAAGCGGGACCGGC